rnacentral:rRNA from 1 species
CAGCCGCCGCGGUAAUACGAAGGUCCCGAGCGUUGUUCGGAAUCACUGGGCGUAAAGGGAGCGUAGGCGGCGUGGUAAGUCAGAUGUGAGAUCCCGGGGCUCAACCCCGGAACUGCAUCCGAUACUGCCAUGCUAGAGGAUUGGAGAGGUAGCUGGAAUUCUUGGUGUAGCAGUGAAAUGCGUGGAGAUCAAGAGGAACACUCGUGGCGAAAGCGAGCUACUGGACAAUAACUGACGCUGAGGCUCGAAGGCCAGGGUAGCGAAAGGGAUUAGAUACCCCCGUAGUCCCUGUCUCUUAUAC